rnacentral:rRNA from 1 species
AGUGAACGCUGGCGGUAGGCCUAACACAUGCAAGUCGAACGGCAGCACAGUAAGAGCUUGCUCUUACGGGUGGCGAGUGGCGGACGGGUGAGGAAUACAUCGGAAUCUACUUUUUCGUGGGGGAUAACGUAGGGAAACUUACGCUAAUACCGCAUACGACCUACGGGUGAAAGCAGGGGAUCUUCGGACCUUGCGCGAUUGAUUGAGCCGAUGUCGGAUUAGCUAGUUGGCGGGGUAAAGGCCCACCAAGGCGACGAUCCGUAGCUGGUCUGAGAGGAUGAUCAGCCACACUGGAACUGAGACACGGUCCAGACUCCUACGGGAGGCAGCAGUGGGGAAUAUUGGGCAAUGGGCGAAAGCCUGAUCCAGCCAUACCGCGUGGGUGAAGAAGGCCUUCGGGUUGUAAAGCCCUUUUGUUGGGAAAGAAAAGCAGCAGGUUAAUACCCCGCUGUUCUGACGGUACCCAAAGAAUAAGCACCGGCUAACUUCGUG